GAUGAACGCUGGCGGCGUGCCUAAUACAUGCAAGUCGAGCGAACAGACGAGGAGCUUGCUCCUCUGACGUUAGCGGCGGACGGGUGAGUAACACGUGGAUAACCUACCUAUAAGACUGGGAUAACUUCGGGAAACCGGAGCUAAUACCGGAUAAUAUAUUGAACCGCAUGGUUCAAUAGUGAAAGACGGUUUUGCUGUCACUUAUAGAUGGAUCCGCGCCGCAUUAGAUAGUUGGUAAGGUAACGGCUUACCAAGGCAACGAUGCGUAGCCGACCUGAGAGGGUGAUCGGCCACACUGGAACUGGGACACGGUCCAGACUCCUACGGGAGGCAGCAGUAGGGAAUCUUACGCAAUGGGCGAAAGCAUGACGGAGCAACGCCGCGUGAGUGAUGAAGGUCUUCGGAGCGUAAAACUCUGUUAUUAGGGAAGAACAAAUGUGUAAGUAACUAUGCACGUCUUGACGGUACCUAAUCAGAAAGCCACGGCUAACUACGUG
rnacentral:rRNA from 1 species